rnacentral:lncRNA from 1 species
CCUCUGCAGCCAUGGGCAGAAAGCAGCCUUUACAAAGGUUAGAUGUGGCUAUUUCAAGUGAGGCCCCUGGGCCUUCCUACUGGAACCUGGGCUUGGCUCCUGGCUGUUGUCUCUCUCCCCUAGGUUCCCGCUGGGAAGGCUUGAUAACAAAAGCAGGCUUUUACCAGACAAGCAAAGAUCAAAAAAAGAUGCAAACCUUUGUUUGUUUAAUGGAAAUUCCUCAGGGUUGCUUUCCUGUGUAUUCCAAAGCUAUGACGGAAUAGUUUGAAUAGUGUGUGCUCUGACUCAUCCAUGACCCCUAAGCUCCCAAGAUCUCCCAAAUCCGCAGGCCCCGUUUGGCAGAGUUGUGGCUCAUGGGGAUGACAGAGCAGAAUGUUUAGGGUUUCUGCCCAAGAGGGAGACCAAUAAAAUAGGAUGACAAGUCUUACGAUGUCCCUACUUCUAAAGAGAAGGUAAGAAAUCCCGUGCUGAACAUCCACUAGGUUCUGGGUAUAUACUUUAUACACACAUGGCCCCUUUAUUCCUCUCAGUGACCCUCAGGGUAGGUCUCACUACCCAAGUGUUAGAGUGAAGGACGCUGAGACCAAGAAGAGGAACAGGUCAGGGUCAGACAGAGCUGGAAUUUGGACACAGUUCUGUCUGACUCCAGAUAUUCCUUGUAUCACACAAUACUGUCUUCUGAAGCAAGUGAUUGUCCCCAACACACACACACACACACACACACUCUCUCUCUCUCUCUCUCUCUCUCUCUCUCUCUCUCUCUCUCUCAGCAGAGCUGAGGAUAAAGAGGAAUAUCCUGCACACUUCUUCCUUCUGUGUCAGGGAACAUUUGCUUGUCUACAGCUCGAGUAUUUGUAAACACUCAGUAGCACCCAAACCCUGAGCCCUAGCAGUUUCCUUUUGCUUGUUUACUAGCAAGAGUAGCAUGUCGGAGGACGAUGAGACAUUGAAUCAAACUCUUAGACAAGCUGGUGAAAGUUUUAACGACUGCUGGAGGCAACAUGCUUCCACACUGACAGAAAUCAUCUUUCAAAAAUCCUGCACAUAUCUCAGGCUUAUGAAACAAACUAAUUCCUAAUAGUUGGAAAUGAAUUAAAAGCUUGCGGUGAGAUAAAAGAUAGAUUUUGGCUGGAUGUGAUGACUCAUGCCUGUGAUCCCUACACUUUAGGAGGGCACAGCAGGAGGAUCGCCUGAGCCCAGGAAUUCAAGACCAGCCUGGUCAACAUAGCAAGACUCUCUCUCUGCAAAAAAAAAGAAAAAAAAAAAAACCUCCCAAAAAAAAGGUUUUACUAGGCAUGAAAAUGAGUCCAUUUCCAUUCUAGGCCCCAGGAUAUCACCAUGACCAAUAAAAACAAUCUGUGGCACUCAGCAGGUGCAUGUCAACAUGGGCAGGUUCUUUCUCCCCGUCAGCAGGACAAGAACAUCUCCCCUAUCCAAAAGGCACCCACUGAGGAUCCGCAGUUCUCUGGAAUUAUGCUGAGCACCCAGAUGUGUGCAACUAAGCCCUGAGCAGUCGAUGUGGAGCGCACUUGAAGGCACUUCAUUUUUUUUUAAGAUACACUCUUAGGAGUUUACUUUAACCCACUUCCCAGCUCAUAGCACACGAGGAGAGGCAGACAUUUUAACCUUGGUAAGACCUGACAAAUGACAAUAGUUGGACCCCACAGCAAUCAUUACUUUUGUAGACAGCAAAGUUAUGCUCCUUGGCUUCAGGUGAAGACCCCCAGAUCCAGGCCAGUGGAUUUACAAGUGAGAGUCAGCAGCACUGGGCAUUUCAGGCAAUAGCUCUGAACAAGCCCUUUACCAUGCGGGUAGGUAAACCCCAGAAUAUACAGAUGCCCCUUACGAUACAUGGGUGGGGAGGGUAUGUGGCCGAGAGAGCAUAAGCUUAGGAGACAGAGUGGAUUUGAAUUCCACUGAGCUUUUGGCUGUGGACCCAUGGGGACGUGGCAUAUGUCUCGCUGAGCCUUAGUUUCCUCCUGCAUGGAAUAGGGAGAGCAAUAGUACCUGCCUCAUUCAGCUAACGUGAGGAUCUAGAGCAGCAUUUGCAUAAAUGACGCGUGGGGCACAGAGCAGACUCAACACAGAGCAGCUUACGUUAUGAGGCUUGGCAGGCUGGGAGCUCCUGUCGGCCUCUCUCCUCAGCUCUGUGCCCACUGAGCUCGGCACAAGGGUUGGCCCAUGACAGGUGUUUAUUAUGUGGAAAUAAAUGAGAGGGACAAGACAUUUGCUGAUUUCUUCACUGUUUCCAACUGGGAAUUCAAAUGUAUCUCACGUUCCCAUACCCUCACAAUAAAUC